rnacentral:rRNA from 1 species
CUACACAUGCAGUCGAGCGGUAACAGAGAGUAGCUUGCUACUUUGCUGACGAGAGGCGGACGGGUGAGUAAUGCCUAGGAAUCUGCCUGGGAGAGGGGGAUAACGUUCGGAAACGAACGCUAAUACCGCAUACUUCCUACGGGAGAAAGUGGGGGACCUUCGGGCCUCACGCUAUUAGAUGAGCCUAGGUCGGAUUAGCUAGUUGGUGAGGUAAUGGCUCACCAAGGCUACGAUCCGUAACUGGACUGAGAGGAUGAUCAGUCACACUGGAACUGAGACACGGUCCAGACUCCUACGGGAGGCAGCAGUGGGGAAUAUUGGACAAUGGGCGAAAGCCUGAUCCAGCCAUGCCGCGUGUGUGAAGAAGGUCUUCGGAUUGUAAAGCACUUUAAGUUGGGAGGAAGGGCAGUAAAUUAAUACUUUGCUGUUUUGACGUUACAGACAGAAUAAGCACCGGCUAACUCUGUGCCAGCAGCCGCGGUAAUACAGAGGGUGCAAGCGUUAAUCGGAAUUACUGGGCGUAAAGCGCGCGUAKGGUGAUUGUUAAGUUGGAUGUGAAAGCCCCGGGCUCAACCUGGGAACUGCAUCCAAAACUGGUAAGCUAGAGAACAGGAGAGGGAGGUGGAAUGUCCUGUGUA